rfam:Gossypium arboreum cultivar AKA8401 contig_31134_3, whole genome shotgun sequence.
AAACCAUGCAUCGGGCAUUUUCUGAUUAACUCUUUGAAUCAUUCCCAUGCUUCAUAUAAUAUUUCAUCCUCAAAUUUCCAAAAAGAUGUAUAAUCAUUCCUUAGUUU